GACGAACCGUGCGAACGUUAUUCGGAAUCACUGGGCUUAAAGCGCGUGUAGGCGGACGGGGACGUUGGUCGCUGAAAUCCCCCGGCUCAACCGGGGAACGGGCGCCGAAACGCCCCGUCUCGAGGGACGUAGGGGGACCUGGAACUUCCGGUGGAGCGGUGAAAUGCGUUGAGAUCGGAAGGAACGCCCGUGGCGAAAGCGAGGUCCUGGACGUCUUCUGACGCUGAGACGCGAAAGCUAGGGGAGCGAACGGG
rnacentral:rRNA from 1 species